rnacentral:rRNA from 1 species
GGUGAACGCUGGCGGCGUGCUUAAGACAUGCAAGUCGAACGGCAGUCUCGGACUGUAGUGGCGCACGGGUGAGUAACGCGUAACUGACCUACCCCAAAGUCGCGGAUAACGAUUCGAAAGAAUCGCUAAUACGUGAUGUGCUGUCAGAUUGUGUUCUGCCAGUAAAGAUUGAUUGCUUUGGGAUGGGGUUGCGUUCCAUCAGCUAGUUGGUGGGGUAAAGGCCCACCAAGGCGACGACGGAUAGCCGGCCUGAGAGGGUGGCCGGCCACAGGGGCACUGAGACACGGGUCCCACUCCUACGGGAGGCAGCAGUUAGGAAUCUUCCACAAUGGGCGAAAGCCUGAUGGAGCGACGCCGCGUGAGGGAUGAAGGUCUUCGGAUCGUAAACCUCUGAAUCAGGGACGAAAGACACUUCGGUGGGAUGACGGUACCUGAGUAAUAGCACCGGCUAACUCCGUGCCAGCAGCCGCCGUAAAAC